rnacentral:rRNA from 1 species
CCUACGGGUGGCUGCAGUGGGGAAUUUUGCGCAAUGCUCGUAAGAGUGACGCAGCGACGCCGCGUGAAUGACGAAGGCCUUCGGGUCGUAAAGUUCUUUCGACAGGGAAGAAAAUGCCUAUAAGUAACUGUGUAUGUAUUGACGGUACCUGUAUAAGCAGCCCCGGCUAACUCCGUGCCAGCAGCCGCGGUAAUACGGAGGAUGCGAGCGUUAUCCGGAUUUAUUGGGUUUAAAGGGUGCGCAGGCGGCCUGUUAAGUCAGCGGUAAAAGCCCGGGGCUCAACCCCGGCGAGCCGUUGAAACUGGCGGGCUGGAGUUGGAGAGAAGUACGCGGAAUGCGCGGUGUAGCGGUGAAAUGCUUAGAUAUCGCGCAGAACCCCGAUUGCGAAGGCAGCGUACCGGCUCCACACUGACGCUGAGGCACGAAAGCGUGGGUAUCGAACAGGAUUAGAUACCCCAGUAGUC